rnacentral:rRNA from 1 species
UACAGAGGUCUCAAGCGUUGUUCGGAUUCAUUGGGCGUAAAGGGUGCGUAGGUGGCGCCGUAAGUCGGGUGUGAAAUUUCGGAGCUUAACUCCGAAACUGCAUUCGAUACUGCGGUGCUUGAGGACUGGAGAGGAGACUGGAAUUCAUGGUGUAGCAGUGAAAUGCGUAGAUAUCGUAAGGAAGACCAGUGGCGAAGGCGGGUCUCUGGACAGUUCCCUGACACUGAGACAGAAGGCCAGGGGAGCAAACGGG